rnacentral:rRNA from 1 species
AGUGAACGCUGGCGGUAGGCCUAACACAUGCAAGUCGAACGGCAGCACAGUAAGAGCUUGCUCUUACGGGUGGCGAGUGGCGGACGGGUGAGGAAUACAUCGGAAUCUACUUUUUCGUGGGGGAUAACGUAGGGAAACUUACGCUAAUACCGCAUACGACCUACGGGUGAAAGCAGGGGAUCUUCGGACCUUGCGCGAUUGAAUGAGCCGAUGUCGGAUUAGCUAGUUGGCGGGGUAAAGGCCCACCAAGGCGACGAUCCGUAGCUGGUCUGAGAGGAUGAUCAGCCACACGGGAACUGAGACACGGUCCAGACUCCUACGGGAGGCAGCAGUGGGGAAGAGUGGACAAUGGGGGCAAGCCUGAUCCAGCCAUACCGCGUGGGUGAAGAAGGCCUUCGGGUUGUAAAGCCCUUUUGUUGGGAAAGAAAAGCAGCAGGUUAAUACCCCGCUGUUCUGACGGUACCCAAAGAAUAAGCACCGGCGAACUUCGU